rnacentral:rRNA from 1 species
UACGGGGGGGGCAAGCGUUGUUCGGAAUUACUGGGCGUAAAGGGUGCGUAGGCGGCGCGGUAAGUCGGGUGUGAAAUCUCGGGGCUUAACUCCGAAACUGCAUUCGAUACUGCCGUGCUUGAGGACUGGAGAGGAGACUGGAAUUUACGGUGUAGCGGUGAGAUGCGUAGAUAUCGUAAGGAAGACCAGUGGCGAAGGCGGGUCUCUGGACAGUUCCUGACGCUGAGGCACGAAGGCCAGGGGAGCAAACGGG